UACAGAGGGUGCGAGCGUUGUUCGGAAUUAUUGGGCGUAAAGGGCGCGUAGGCGGUGCGGUAAGUCACCUGUGAAAUCUCCUGGCUCAACUGGGAGCUUGCAGGCGAAACUGCCGUGCUGGAGUGUGGGAGAGGUGAGUGGAAUUCCCGGUGUAGCGGUGAAAUGCGUAGAUAUCAGGAGGAACACCUGUGGCGAAAGCGGCUCACUGGACCAUAACUGACGCUGAUGCACGAAAGCUAGGGGAGCAAACAGG
rnacentral:rRNA from 1 species